rnacentral:lncRNA from 1 species
GUUGGGCACUGCAAAAGUUCUAAGACCAGGCCUUUUCUUUGUUCUCUCUCUUUUCUUGUGUUACAUGUCGCUGUUCCUUUUAAGGGCUUGUUUGGCGUGGUCUACUGCCAGACAGUAGCCUGUGAACGUUUGGGUUCAGUAAACCGUUUUCAUUGGACAACUCGAGAACUGUUGUUUCGAGGAGGGGUUUUAUAAUUGAAGCGCUCAGACAAACGGACUUACACAAUGCUUAAUAGGAAGAUAAAUAGCCCUUUAUACUAGGGAUAAACAGCACUUGGAACUCUUGAAAAUGAAACGUUUCUCUCACCGCAGUUCACAACCAUGAAGCAAACCAUUUCUAUCUGUUUUUUUUCUUCUUUACGGCGCACUCCUAUCUCCGCUAACCAAAUGAAUGGGUCAGGGCUUUGAAGAGGAAAUGGCAUGCAUUCCUCCGCAACUCUAAGAGGCUAUGGCACAAAGGAUCACUCUAAUGUUGACCCAUGGAAAGGAGCUGUCAGAAGAUUGGAAGCGGCCCAGUGUGGGCCACUGGGAAUGGGUUCUGUCUGGAGAGGCUUGUCAAGGAACCAGGCUUGUGUCUGGAUGACAAUGGGACAAGGGGACAUCUGGACCAGUCGAAGACUGACUUUUUCGGUCCAGACUGACAUCGGCCAUCUUGAAAGUGAGAGGCAUGAAGAUGUGACGUUCAGUGUCCUCCAUUUUUGUUUUUUAUCCGUUGUCCUGUCACUCUUUUGGCCCCGCUCCAGGACCCAUUAUUGAGUGCAUGACUUUGCAUGUUGUAAUGUAUGUUGUCAACAUGUUGACGUAUCGCGAGUGUCAUUGUUCAUAUUCAGGUCAUUAUUGGCUUGUAAAGUUGAGCUUUUUUCAGUUUUGUACUUCAUAUGAUUUUUUUGUUUUUCAUUUUUCAAUCAUUCUAACCUAUUUUGUCAACGAACGUUACUUUGUGGGGGGCUAUUCUUCAAAGUUUGUUUAUUUCUCCGUCAAUGUUAGACCCCGGUCCGUUGGCGGUCUGUUGGGCAAACUCCACAGUCCUCCAGGGUUGAACAUCCCCUCAGCUGUGUAGGAGGUCGAUAUUCCAACGUCUCCACACUGCAAACUAGGCCUGCGCCUCUGAGGAUUUGGCAGGGGCGAGGCAGGGACGGCGGUAGGGUCUGACUGGGUUUCGUUUGGCUGCCGUGGGGGGGACUGUGGUUUGGACUGAUGUGUCGCUACUGCCUUGACCCCUGUCACUCUUCAUAUCAGCAGACCAUGGGGAAUGUUGAAAUCUGUUGGCCACCGAUGUGACAUAACCCCUCACUUCCUAAUCAAUGUACCGUUACUAUAACACAUCUGGUUAUAAAGGGGUUACACAAUUGCUCUGAAUAUUCAUGGAUACGUUGCAGGCACAGGAUCUGUAAUCACUAGAGUUACAUAUGAAUAAUCAUAAACCGGGUAGUUUGGGUCCUGGAUGCUGAUUGGCUGAAACAGCAGUUCAGCCGUGUGUGUAUCAGACAAUAUCCCAACUGUAUGAUGCAAAAAUACUGGUUUACCGCUCUAAUCAUGUUGGCAAUCCGUUUCAAAUAUAAAUAAGGCACCUCGGGCCAGUAUACCACGGCUAAGGGCUGUAUCCAGACACUCCUCGUUGCAUCGUGCAUAAGAACAGCCCUUAGCAGUGGUAUAUUGGCCUUAUACCACACCCCUCGGGACUUACUGCUCCAGUAUAGUCCAGUAUAAUCUAUAACUACCAGCACAUGUACCUAUGCUAUGACAUGUGUAUUUAUAAAGGCUUUAUAAACCCUUAAUAAACAGUCCAUAACAG